CGACCGCCGGCUCUGCCGGCUAAGGCCAUACGGACAGCCGGGUCGAAUGCCGA
rnacentral:sRNA from 12 species